rnacentral:rRNA from 1 species
AAUAUUGCCCAAUGGCCGAAACCCUGAUGCAGCAACGCCGCGUUGAGGGAUGACGGCCUUCGGGUUGUAAACCUCUUUUAGUAGGGAAGAAGCGAAAGUGACGGUACCUGCAGAAAAAGCACCGGCUAACUACGUGCCAGCAGCCGCGGUAAUACGUAGGGUGCAAGCGUUGUCCGGAAUUAUUGGGCGUAAAGAGCUCGUAGGCGGUUUGUCGCGUCUGCUGUGAAAUCUGGGGGCUCAACCCCCAGCCUGCAGUGGGUACGGGCAGACUAGAGUGCGGUAGGGGAGAUUGGAAUUCCUGGUGUAGCGGUGGAAUGCGCAGAUAUCAGGAGGAACACCGAUGGCGAAGGCAGAUCUCUGGGCCGUAACUGACGCUGAGGAGCGAAAGCAUGGGGAGCGAACAGGAUUAGAUACCCUGGUAGUCCAUGCCGUAAACGUUGGGAACUAGAUGUGGGGGCCAUUCCACGGUCUGCGUGUCGCAGCUAACGCAUUAAGU